GACGAACGCUGGCGGCGCGCCUAACACAUGCAAGUCGAACGAGCGAGAGAGAGCUUGCUUUCUCAAGCGAGUGGCGAACGGGUGAGUAACGCGUGAGGAACCUGCCUCAAAGAGGGGGACAACAGUUGGAAACGACUGCUAAUACCGCAUAAGCCCACGACCCGGCAUCGGGUAGAGGGAAAAGGAGCAAUCCGCUUUGAGAUGGCCUCGCGUCCGAUUAGCUAGUUGGUGAGGUAACGGCCCACCAAGGCGACGAUCGGUAGCCGGACUGAGAGGUUGAACGGCCACAUUGGGACUGAGACACGGCCCAGACUCCUACGGGAGGCAGCAGUGGGGAAUAUUGCACAAUGGGGGAAACCCUGAUGCAGCGACGCCGCGUGGAGGAAGAAGGUCUUCGGAUUGUAAACUCCUGUUGUUGAGGAAGAUAAUGACGGUACUCAACAAGGAAGAGACGGCUAACUACGUG
rnacentral:rRNA from 1 species